rnacentral:rRNA from 1 species
UGACGCUGGCGGCAGGCUACACAUGCUGUCGAACGGUAACAGGAAGCAGCUUGCUGCUUCGCUGACGAGUGGCGGACGGGUGAGUAAUGUCUGGGAAACUGCCUGAUGGAGGGGGAUAACUACUGGAAACGGUAGCUAAUACCGCAUAACGUCGCAAGACCAAAGAGGGGGACCUUCGGGCCUCUUGCCAUCGGAUGUGCCCAGAUGGGAUUAGCUAGUAGGUGGGGUAACGGCUCACCUAGGCGACGAUCCCUAGCUGGUCUGAGAGGAUGACCAGCCACACUGGAACUGAGACACGGUCCAGACUCCUACGGGAGGCAGCAGUGGGGAAUAUUGCACAAUGGGCGCAAGCCUGAUGCAGCCAUGCCGCGUGUAUGAAGAAGGCCUUCGGGUUGUAAAGCACUUUUAUCGGGAAAGAAAAACCCAGGGGUUAAUACCCCUGGCAUUGACGGUACCCGAAGAAUAAGCACCGGCUAACUCCGUGCCAGCAGCCGCGGUAAUACGGAGGGUGCAAGCGUUAAUCGGAAUUACUGGGCGUAAAGCGUGCGCAGGCGGUUUGCUAAG